rnacentral:rRNA from 1 species
GACGAACCGUGCGACCGUUAUUCGGAAUCACUGGGCUUAAAGCGCGUGUAGGCGGCCCGGCACGUCCGUCGCUGAAAUCCCCCGGCUCAACCGGGGAAGUGGCGUGGAUACGGCCGGGCUGGAGGGGGUAGGGGGAGCCGGAACUUCCGGUGGAGCGGUGAAAUGCGUUGAGAUCGGAAGGAACGCCCGUGGCGAAAGCGGGCUCCUGGACCCCACCUGACGCUGAGACGCGAAAGCCAGGGGAGCGAACGGG